CAAAGGGGUCGAAACUUUAACUUCUGCUCGAGCAGAAAAAAAUGCUGCUCGAGCAGCAUUUAAAUGCUGCUCGACCAGCAAAAUGCUGCUCGAGCAGCAAAUUUACUGCUCGACCAGCAUUUUUUCUGCUCGUGCAGAAAAAUCCUGCUCGACCAGCAUUUAUUUUUAGAUUAUGGCAUUAGCCAAUCAGAACUCUUGUUAUAUUUGCCUUUUGGUGCGAAACUGGUUUGUUUGGAAAAAAUGGCUGCUGCCAUGAUGGUGCCUUUUUCACAUCUUCUGCAAGUUUAUGUGACGACCUGUUUAAAGUUUAACAUUGACACGCGGAGAUGAUGCCAAUGAUUCACCAUUAGAAGAUAUGACGGUAACAGUGGUCCAGAACUUGGCUCAACCAGAGUUCCACCAACAUUGCAACAUGCACACAACCAGCAAAACAUACCAAGACUGCCGAAUGUUUGGUCAGGAAAAAGCAUCCCACAAUGUUGCGACAGGCCCAUGUUUCAGUUUAUCGAGACUAGUCGUGAAACACAGACUUCUGAUUCAUGGAGUGCGGCAAACAUAUCUGUGCGACUCGUUCACUCCACUGUAAAGACCCGCACGGCAUUAAAAUGGAUAUCAUCCGACGUUUGCAAACGAUGGCUGCAUGAGGUCUGCGUCUCACAACCUACAUCCCAAGAUAG